CUGAGACAUCUCCAGCCACAGCAGGGCUCCAGUCUCAGCCUGGGGGACCAGGCGUCACUGACCCUUUUGAUCCCUACUCAGGUGCUCAGCUGCCCCAGGGAGCCACCGCUGGAGCCCAGGCCAUGCCCCACUGGAGCAGAAGUGAUUUCAGCCAGUCCCCAGAUGGAUGAGUCCCUGCAGAGCUCAGUCCCUCCUUGCAGAAGACAUUGUAGUCAAAGACCUAAUGAUCUUGAACAGGCUUCCUCCCAGGAGAAGGAACUUGAACAUCCUAGGGUGCUUUGAAGGUGUACCAGCCCUAGCCUAGACAAAAAUAUGGGAGUAACUGGAAACACCACCACACUGGCCAGACCAACAGUGUCUUCUGCCUGGAGAACCUACAAACAGGAUCAACAGCAUCUAGGGAUGUAGCCGUCAACUGUGGCAUAAGCAGGCUCACCUGAAACAGAGAGCACAAAUAAAUUAUGUCUGCUUAUGUGAAGUGCUCAUUACAAGACUCUACACAGGACAGAAACACUGGCCACCUGUGUUAAAGGGAUGGAAGGCAAUGGUGGAUGAGGCUGAAAGAGACGUCUUGAUUCUAUGAUUCUAUGAUUUGCCGAGCAACCAAGGCAUUUUACCAAGUUCCAUCACUAAAGUGCCAUAGGGAAUUAUAUAGCUCAUGGUGUUGAAUGAGGGAAAGGCCCAAACUGCAGAGACUGGUGUGAUCCCAAACUUGGAUAUCCUUAAGCUCCACAACUGCCUACAUACAGGGCUUUGGUUAGAACCUCUCCAUAGUGAAACCUUGUCUCCAAAGUCAGAGUCCAGCUUCCCAGGUUCUUUCAGGGGGUACCAGAUUUCACCUAAACCAUUCCCUUUACAGAGCUAAAGCUCGUGAUCUGAUGGGGAAGAGCAAAAGCAGGUUUCUUCCGUGGAGCCAGAAACCCCAUAAAGCAAGUAAUUCUGGUGCACUGGUCGGGAUGGGUAUAGGUGUCCUCCUGCACAUUAGAAAAGACAGAGCUGAGGAUCUGUGUGGCUCUGGGACUUCCAGUGCCCUUCCUCUCUGCUCCCCAGCUGUCCUCCGGGAGCUGGUGGGAAGGCAAGAGGUUAGGCCAGCCUGGGCUUUACAGAGACCUGAUACCAAGGCACGUCUUGGUGGCCUGACAUGAAGCCAGAGGGCAUUGUGGAAAUAUUUGAUCCGCUUGCACUCUUGGGUGUCAAAGAACUCGAACGACACAGACAAAACGGCCCUAACAUCUGUAAGAAGAGAGCAAAUCUCCUCUCUUCUGAUCUCUUCUCAUCCCGAUACAAAGAUCUCUGUCCACAGCAAGCACCAGGUGAUGUUGGUCUUCUGCAGGAAACAUGGUAACCAUGAGUCAUAGAAUCAUAUAACCAACUACGUCGGAAAAGACCUUGUCCAGAGAAGAACUCAUCCCUUUACACAGCCUGGUAUUUCAAAGAUGAGCACUGAGUUCAGGAAGGCCUGCAGGACCCAUGCGGAAAGGGUCACUCAGCACACCACUACCUCUGGGGAGACGAAGCCAGCUUCCUAAAGGCACUGCAUGUUCCCUAGGUACGCCAUGGUCUUGCAGUCCCAGCUGACUUCUCUCCCACAGCUAUGGAGUAAUAAAAAAGCAUUGGGGAUCUAUGAAAGCAAA